GUUGUAAAUAAAUAUAAACUGUUUUAAUUGGUAUGUCAUCAAUAAACUGUUUGUCCUAUCAAACUGAUCACAGCAUGCAGCCAGUAUAUUUCCUGAUUAUUCAAUAUUGCAUUGCAAUUUCUCGGAAAAAUAAAAUGGCUAUCUUUAUCCAUCUAAUGUUUUUUUUAAAAGCCAAGCAGUGUACAUUUAAAAUGAACAAUUAUUUCAAAAUUUAAACUAACUACAUGUAUGUCUUCUGAGUCAAAGAAUAGAAAACUUAAUAAAAUUGAACAGUAUUUAAAAUUUAACAGUUACUUAUUUCCCAUGAUGCACACUAUCAUAUGGUAAACUGGUCUAGCUCUAGCACCUACACAAUCUAAAUAAAUCCCAACUUCACUGUACAUAUACAGAUUAAAGGCACCGAGGGUCCCAAAAUGGAAAAUAAAAACUGAUGGUGUGAAUAAUAUGUAACUUUAUAAUUACCACUCAAUCAUAGUGUAGUCAAUCAAAUAGUAAGGAGAAUACCAUCCAAAAUAUUAUGACGUUGAAAAGAAAUAAAAUAUAAUGCAAAUCAAAUACUUGGUGAAAUGAUUAUAUUUUUCAUAAGAGUUUUGAUAUUAGAUAAAGGUUUGACUGAACUCCAUCAUGAGUAUGGAAAACAAGUCAAUCAUCUCAAUGUAAAUGUCUCUUUGCCUUACACUUUACAGUUGCCUACUCUUACAGUGAAAUUUGGCAUAGGCAGAUCCAGGGGAAAAAAAAUUGGUUGAUUAAAUAGGGAAUCACUGAAGCGGGACUGAAUCAGGCCCCCCUUUGGUCAGUCAGCUUUCUAAGUUAUGAACAAUUUGAAGACGGGUGGUAAAUUGUAUCUGUAAAGUCACAAAUUUUAAUUUCAAAAGGAUAGUGUCAGCACCAAAAAUGGUCUUAAAUCCUUCUUAUAAAUGACAUACUAUCAUCUACAAACUAUAAAAAUAUUUCAACAAUUAAAUAAAUACAAUAAAAAUAAUUUGGCAGCUUCGUGCAUACUAACCAUUAUACACCACAUUUGGCUAUGAUAUAAAAAUAUUAACCACGACAGAAACACAUGUAUUUACCAUGUUUACAAAAACACAUGUAUUUACAAAAGAAGUGAUAUCAUACAACAUUAUUAUACACAUUUUGAUGGAUAAAAUACUGAUAAUGCUGGAUGGUAAGUAUACAAUAUUAUAGUCAUUUAAAAAUACUUUUACAAAAAUACAUAAGCCUGUUUGCA
rnacentral:lncRNA from 1 species